rnacentral:misc_RNA from 1 species
AAAAAUGUUCUUUAUUGUCAUUUGUGAGCACACCAAGAGAAAACACCGAUGAAAACAGACAUACUAUCCCAACAUUACAUUCUAAACAACUUGAUAAUUUCUUCCUAGCAAAAGCAGUUGCAGAAGGAGAUGGCCUAAGUUGGAAAGUCCAUUCUUUUACAUUUCUCAAUACAAUCACAUGUUUUGGUCUUGCAGCAAAGGCCAUAAGACAAUUAACAACUCCCAAUUAACACAACCUAUUAAGUCGAGCAAAAUUCUUCAAUUAGCCUAACCCAGAUCAAACUCAAGGCAAAAACAGCUCAUGAUCAAAACUUAAACCAAACAGAAGGUUGUAGAAAAUCUAAAACCAUAUUGACAGGUAAAAUUUGAAUCAAAUGCAUUCACUUACACAUAAGAAUAAAUACAUGCACGCAGAAAAGAUGAUAAUCGUGGCUAGAUGGCACCCACUAAAAACCAUAUCAUUGAGAGAGAAAAUAAAUCAACCAAGAUGAAGAACACAC